rnacentral:rRNA from 1 species
GAUGAACGCUGGCGGCGUGCUUAACACAUGCAAGUCGAACGUGAACCAGCAGCAAUGUUGGGGAAAGUGGCGGACGGGUGAGUAACACGUGGAUGACCUGCCUUGCAGCGGGGGAUAACGAGGGGAAACCUUCGCUAAUACCGCAUAGGCUUACACUGAUGGGAAUGGUGUGGGUAAAACUUUGGUGCUGCAAGAGGGGCCUGCGUCCGAUUAGCUAGUUGGUGAGGUAAAGGCUCACCAAGGCGAUGAUCGGUAGCUGGUCUGAGAGGACGAUCAGCCACACGGGAACUGAGAAACGGUCCCGACUCCUACGGGGGGCAGCAGUGAGGAAUAUUGGGCAAAUGGGCUAACGCCUGACCCAGCAACGCCGCGUGGAGGAUGAAGGUUUUUGGAUUGUAAACUCCUUUUGUGGGGAAGAGUGAGGACGGUACCCCAAGAAUAAGUCACGGCUAACUACGUG